AUUGAACGCUGGCGGCAUGCCUUACACAUGCAAGUCGAACGGCAGCACGGGUGCUUGCACCUGGUGGCGAGUGGCGAACGGGUGAGUAAUACAUCGGAACAUGUCCUGUAGUGGGGGAUAGCCCGGCGAAAGCCGGAUUAAUACCGCAUACGAUCUGCGGAUGAAAGCGGGGGACCUUCGGGCCUCGCGCUAUAGGGUUGGCCGAUGGCUGAUUAGCUAGUUGGUGGGGUAAAGGCCUACCAAGGCGACGAUCAGUAGCUGGUCUGAGAGGACGACCAGCCACACUGGGACUGAGACACGGCCCAGACUCCUACGGGAGGCAGCAGUGGGGAAUUUUGGACAAUGGGCGAAAGCCUGAUCCAGCAAUGCCGCGUGUGUGAAGAAGGCCUUCGGGUUGUAAAGCACUUUUGUCCGGAAAGAAAUCCUUGGCCCUAAUACGGUCGGGGGAUGACGGUACCGGAAGAAUAAGCACCGGCUAACUACGUG
rnacentral:rRNA from 1 species